GUUUUGUCCAGACAAGACAAAACCACGGCCUCCCCCCAUGCUUUAGAGAAGCCCGCUCAGUGUAGACAAUAGCCCCCCAGUGUAGACAAUAGCCCCCCGGGCGUCUGAAAGGGGCUGAUUGGAUUAUGUGGCCAUCGGAGGUGGAAGGGUGACUUGGGAGGUGACAAAUGCAGUGGGCGGGGACCGGCUUUGCGUUCAGCCCGGCUGUGGCUGUGAGCAGGGACCCCUUUGUCUGGCGCAGUCUGGCGGCAGCUUUGGCUGGGCUUGGAGGAGGUCCCAGGCUGGGAGUCUGGCAGCCCGUGAGGCCGGGGGUGACCCCGCGCGUCCCCCUCCGCAGUCUGGGGAGCCCUUUUGGCCACCAAACGUUCAUUUGAUCCUCACGACUCCCUGUCCUGACCCCAGGGCUGGCCUGCCACCUCCCAUGGACUCAGAGGCUCUCAAGCGGCCCCUCAGCUCGGGCCCCCGUACCCUCGCCCCAAGAGGGGCGCGCGCGUGUCCCACGCGCACCUCCCAGCUCCCGACUGCGCUCCCUGCGGUCCGGGAGCCUCCCAGGCUCCCCCUUGUCCUGUUUAGCUCCUCCAGGCUCUGUCUUUCCUUCUCAGCUGCGCCUCUCCAAGGCCUGUCCACCCUCGCUGUCCUCCUUCCUCACCUCCAACCUCCUCUCCAGCUCACUGCUCCCGACUCGCUCUGUCCUGUGGCGCGCCUCUCACCAAGCUCCCGUCCACCUCUCUCUCCCUCUCUGGUCCUCUGAAAUACAAAAUGUGGCCCUUGGGGUGCCCUAGGCCCGCCCCCCCUCCUCUGGGUGUCCCAGCCCUAGCCUGACAAAAAGUGGGGCUCCGUAAGAGUAUGUGGGACGUCAGCUUGGCCAGGUGAGUGAGUGCACGGGCGUGACUACCAUCCCCAGCAGCCAGGCGGGCCCCGGGGACAGCUGCAGGCCAGGAGGGUGGCGGGCGGACUGGGCACCGGGGAGUGGGCAGCUUCCCCCCGCAGCCCUACUGAGGGCUCCCAGGUCGCGCCCUGCACUGACCCGCGCGUCCAUUCGGUCAUCCAACAGUUGAUCCUCACCGAGCAAGCCCACAGUCGUGGCCCCGGGCUUGGCACCCGCCACCUAGCUCGUCCCUUGAUGGCCUCUGCUUCCCGGGAGGGGCAGGCCGGGAGGUUGUCCCAGUGCCGGAGCCUGGGCUCCGGCUCUGGAGAGCUGGCAAGAGGGUGCAGGCGGGCCUGGGUGGCCUUGGCCUCAAACCUGCCC
rnacentral:lncRNA from 1 species